AGGUUGGCUCAGAAGCAGCCAUCCUUUAAAGAGUGCGUAACAGCUCACUAGUCGAGUGACCCUGCGCCGAAAAUGUACCGGGGCUAAGCCUGAUACCGAAACUGCGGAUUGUAGGAAACUAUAGUGGUAGGGGAGCGUUGUAUACGAGCAGAAGCCGUACCGUGAGGAGCGGUGGAUUGUAUAGAAGUGAGAAUGCCGGUGUGAGUAGCGAGAUGUAGGUGAGAAUCCUACACACCGAAAGCCCAAGGAUUCCAGGGGAAGGUUCGUCCGCCCUGGGUAAGUCGGGACCUAACGCGAGGCCGAAAGGCGUAGUGGAUGGAAAGCAGGCGAAAGAUUCCUGCACCCGUAUAUGGAGCGAAGGAGUGACGGAGACGGAUAGUGUGACCCUCUUAAUGGAUUGAGGGCGAAGCGAAGCGGCUGGUUACCAGGCAAAUCCGGUAACCAAAAGGCUAGAGCGUGACAGGUAAGCGAAAUCUUCGGAAAGUAGCGAAGCACAUGAUGACGGCUUCCAGGAAAAGCUUCUGGCAAUGCAUAUGCGGCCCGUACCAAAACCGACACAGGUGGGCAGGGAGAGAAUCCCGAGGUGAGCGAGAGAACUGUUGCCAAGGAACUCGGCAAAAUGACUCCGUAAGUUAGCGAGAAGGAGUGCUUAAGCAAUUAAGCCGCAGUGAAGAGGCCCAAGCGACUGUUUAACUAAAACACAGCUCUCUGCGAAGUCGCAAGACGAAGUAUAGGGGGUGACACCUGCCCGGUGCUGGAAGGUUAAGAGGAUCUGUUAAGAGCGAUCUGAAGCAGUGAUCCGAAGCCCCAGUGAACGGCGGCCGUAACUAUAACGGUCCUAAGGUAGCGAAAUUCCUUGUCAGGUAAGUUCUGACCCGCACGAAAGGUGUAACGAUUUGGGCGCUGUCUCGGCAGCAGACUCGGUGAAAUCUUAGUACCUGUGAAAAUGCAGGUUACCCGCAACUAGACGGAAAGACCCCAUGGAGCUUUACUGCAGCCUGAUAUUGAAUUCUGGUCAUACAUGUACAGGAUAGGUGGGAGACAAAGAGACGUGCACGCCAGUGUACGAGGAGUCGACGUUGGGAUACCACUCUUGUGUGACCGGGGUUCUAACCUGGUAUCGAGAACAGGUACGGGGAGAGUGUCAGGUGGGCAGUUUGACUGGGGCGGUCGCCUCCCAAAGAGUAACGGAGGCGCCCAAAGGUACGCUCAGAUUGGAUGGAAACCAAUCGUCGAGUGCAAUUGCAGAAGCGUGCUUGACUGUGAGACAGACAAGUCGAACAGGGACGAAAGUCGGGAAUAGUGAUCCGGCGGUGCCGAAUGGAAGGGCCGUCGCUCAACGGAUAAAAGCUACCCUGGGGAUAACAGGCUGAUCUCCCCCAAGAGUCCACAUCGACGGGGAGGUUUGGCACCUCGAUGUCGGCUCAUCGCAUCCUGGAGCUGUAGUCGGUUCCAAGGGUUGGGCUGUUCGCCCAUUAAAGCGGUACGCGAGCUGGGUUCAGAACGUCGUGAGACAGUUCGGUCCCUAUCUGUUGUGGGCGAAGGAGAUCUGCGGAGAGCUGUCCUCAGUACGAGAGGACCGGGAUGGACCUACCGCUGGUGCACCGGUUGUUCCGCCAGGGGCAUAGCCGGGUAGCUAAGUAGGGAAAGGAUAAGCGCUGAAAGCAUCUAAGCACGAAGCCUACUCCAAGAUGAGAUCUCCCAUUCGCAAGAAGUAAGACCCCUUAAAGACGAUAAGGUAGAUAGGCCAGGGAUGGAAGUGCAGUGAUGUACGGAGUUGACUGGUACUAAUCGGUCGAGGACUUAAUCAG
rnacentral:rRNA from 1 species